rnacentral:tRNA from 2 species
GUCCGGGUGGCGAAAUUGGUAGACGCGCAAGCUUGAGGUGCUUGUGGCCGCAAGGCCUUAGGGGUUCAAGUCCCCUUUCGGACA